rnacentral:rRNA from 1 species
CACGCAGUAAACGAUGAAUACUAGCUGUAUGCGAUACACCGUAUGUGGCACAGCGAAAGCGUUAAGUAUUCCACCUGGGGAGUACGUUCGCAAGAAUGAAACUCAAAGGAAUUGACGGGGGCCCGCACAAGCGGAGGAACAUGUGGUUUAAUUCGAUGAUACGCGAGGAACCUUACCCGGGCUUGAAAUGCAGACGACCGACAGGGAAACUUGUCUUCCAGCAAUGGCGUCUGUGUAGGUGC